AUGCUCCUCCCUUGGUCGCCAACAGUCGUCACAUCCCCUCUUCUACUGCUGACUGACCUCGAGCGAAUCGAUCCACCACCCCGCAAUGUCGCCAUUGGAAUCUAUGGUGCGAAGGGGGAGAAGAAGGUUGCCUCGCGAGCAGCGCGGUGCGGCAGUUUCGUGGGCGAUGGGGCGGAUGGGGAGCGACGCGCAGUUCUACGACGACCGCGACCGACCGACGACGCCUCCGUAGACUCCCGAUUCGACGCCGACAGGUCGACGCGCUCUUCCCGCAGAAAUGUCUCAAGGAUCCAUCGCCAUAUGUUAGGAAAUGUGCGGCAUAUUCAUGUGCUCUACAACUUGCUUCCAGAGGAAGACACAACUUUGGAGGAGAUAGUGAAAAUUCCCCUCGAGUAG
rnacentral:rRNA from 1 species